rnacentral:rRNA from 1 species
CCUACGGGGGGCAGCAGUGGGGAAUAUUGGACAAUGGGGGGAACCCUGAUCCAGCCAUGCCGCGUGUGUGAAGAAGGCCCUCGGGUUGUAAAGCACUUUCAGUGAGGAAGAACGCCUGGUGGUUAAUACCCAUCAGGAAAGACAUCACUCACAGAAGAAGCACCGGCUAACUCCGUGCCAGCAGCCGCGGUAAUACGGAGGGUGCGAGCGUUAAUCGGAAUUACUGGGCGUAAAGCGCGCGUAGGUGGCUUGAUAAGCCGGUUGUGAAAGCCCCGGGCUCAACCUGGGAACGGCAUCCGGAACUGUCAAGCUAGAGUGUAGGAGAGGAAGGUAGAAUUCCCGGUGUAGCGGUGAAAUGCGUAGAGAUCGGGAGGAAUACCAGUGGCGAAGGCGGCCUUCUGGACUGACACUGACACUGAGGUGCGAAAGCGUGGGUAGCAAACAGGAUUAGAUACCCUGGUAGUC